rnacentral:lncRNA from 1 species
AUGUUAAUUAUACCCAAACACAGACCUAUAAAUAGUAAAACCACAAAAACUGAUCAUUAUGCAGUGGUCUCUAGUUUUUCCAGAGCUGUGUGUUUACGCUGUGUGUGUUUACGCUGUGUGUGUUUACGCUGUGGGUGUUUACGCUGUGUGUGUUUACGCUGUGUGUGUUUACGCUGUGUGUGUUUACGCUGUGUGUGUUUACGCUGUGUGUGUUUACGCUGUGCGUGCGUGUGUGUGUGUGUUUACGCUGUGCGUGUGUGUUUACGCUGUGUGUUUACGCUGUGUGUUUACGCUGUGUGUGUGUGUGUGUGUUUACGCUGUGUGUGUGUGUGUGUGUUUACGCUGUGUGUGUGUGUUUACGCUGUGUGUGUGUGUGUGUGUUUACGCUGUGUGUGUGUGUGUGUGUUUACGCUGUGUGUGUGUGUGUGUGUUUACGCUGUGUGUGGUGUGUGUGUGUUUACGCUGUGUGUGUGUGUGUGUUUACGCUGUGUGUGUGUGUGUGUUUACGCUGUGUGUGUGUGUGUGUGUUACGCUGUGUGUGUGUGUGUGUGUUUACGCUGUGUGUGUGUGUGUGUGUUUACGCUGUGUGUGUGUGUGUGUUUACGCUGUGUGUGUGUGUGUGUGUUACGCUGUGUGUGUGUGUUUACGCUGUGUGUGUGUGUGUUUACGCUGUGUGUGUGUGUGUUUACGCUGUGUGUGUGUGUUUACGCUGUGUGUGUGUGUGUGUUUACGCUGUGUGUGUGUGUGUGUUACGCUGUGUGUGUGUUUACGCUGUGUGUGUGUUUACGCUGUGUGUGUGUGUUUACGCUGUGUGUGUGUGUUUACGCUGUGUGUGUGUGUUUACGCUGUGUGUGUGUGUUUACGCUGUGUGUGUGUUUACGCUGUGCGUGCGUGUGUGUUUACGCUGUGUGCGUGCGUGUGUGUUUACGCUGUGUGCGUGCGUGUGUGUUUACGCUGUGUGCGUGCGUGUGUGUUUACGCUGUGUGCGUGCGUGUGUGUUUACGCUGUGUGUGUGGCGGUGGUGUGUUUACGCUGUGUGCGUGCGUGGGUGUUGUUACUGCUGGUGCGUGCUGUGGUGGUUGUACGCUGUGUGUUUACGCCUGUGUGGGUGUGUUUGAAUCGCUGGUGUUUACGCUGUGUGUGUGUUGA